AGAUCUAACACCCGUUUUUUAUAUUUUUCUUCGAAAGAUAAUUAUUUUUCACUAACACUCCCGUUGGAAUUUUUCUUUUUAUACCAUUCUUGAAUUUUUGACAAAAUUUCAAAAAUUUGAAAUCUUUCAAUAUUUUGAGACAUGCGGAACGAAAAUAGUAACCCUAGAAGUGAGGAUGUAAAACCGGUUAACUGAUAACCCUAUCAUCAGCUGUUGUUUACUUUUUGAAAUGUCAAUCGUUUCAUCGUGUUUUCAAUCGCGGUAGAAAUCACAUCGUGUGAGUAUUUGCAUUUUUUUUAAUUAAUAACUUAUUCGACAUGUUCUGAGGAAAUAUUCUGUAAUAAACUAUUACGAUGCGUAUUCAUUACGAGCUGAGGCCUUUGUUUUGUAACCUAAUCACCCCACCUGCUGUCUUCCAGAUGAGAUUUAGGUGCACUCCGGAAGCAGUUAAACAAUAAUGUACUCUAUGAUUAAUAUACUACUACACCACGCAAUCUUGGAGUUAUCAUAUGAUCAGUUCAAGAAUUUAUCAACUCCGGCGGCGAAAAGAAGUGCAUGCAUGCUCGCAUUCUCCGUUCGCUCCUGACGGGUGGCUCAGCAGUUAACAAUCUGAACGGUAUGAAGAAUAUCCUGACGAACGGCGGGACCAGUAUGCUUCGGGAAAACUUCAUCAACGGUAUGGAUGACUAUCAUCUGGGUGUUUUCAGUAGACGCAAGAAGGAUGAACAACUCGAGUAACAAAUCCCAAUCCUCUAAAUUGAAUAAUAAUCGAACACCUUCAUUCAAGUUGGUAUUUCUAAUAGAUUCUUGGAAGAAGUACAUGUACAUAUUCAUUAAAUAAUAAAUAAUGUUGAUUAUUCAAUUUUAAAGUAAA